UAAACCAUUUAAAUUACAGUAAAAUACAUUUUAUCAACGAUGUCAAUACUGGAUAUGGCAUACGCCAUCAAAACUGUAGCAAUGUUUUUGCAUGCAAAAUGUGUAUCGAGAAAAUAUUGUCGUCCUUUUUAUCUUACAGUAAUAGCAUAUACUACUUUCUCUUUCACUCAUUUUACGCUUUCAAUGCAUAUCAAUGCAUUAAACACGUCCGACUGUCACCGCGUCC